GCUUGGGGUGGAUGUGGGGGAGGGUAGAGUUUCCAAGCUCCGCCCCGCCCUCCUUCACUCAGGCAAGAGAGGGGCGUUAGAAAGGACAAGGGGGAGCUGCCUCCCAGCCCUGGGAUCGCUGGGCCACAGGGCAGGCUUCUCCUGCUGAAACAGAAGGCCUCUGGUUUGUUCGGCAGGGAUGGGGGCGGGGCUGCACCUGUUCAGGCCAGGCAGCGAUGUAUGCUCGGUGUGUUAAGUGUCUUCCUCCAGCUGCUUUAGGACCCAGCACAAGAGCGGAAAUACACACAGGGGAGAGUGCCUGUGCACAGGCAGAUAUCCGUGCAAGCGUCCCUGGGUGGUGGCUUUCUCUAAAGGGGACCCACCGAGCUUUAGUUCUGUGGACCCAGAGCUCAUUAAACUGCCAGCCUUUUCUUGGCAUCAUUUGGGAGUAACAGUGGACUUCCGGUGCUCGUCCAGGAACGGGAACCGGAACUGGGAACAGGACCAUGUCAGGGCAUCUUUUUGCAGGUGUCCUGCUUAUCUCUUGAGAAGCCUUCCUGUGCCUCAUCUGAGUGAAAGGUUUUCUGGGAACUACUUAGCCCCUCAUUUAUGACAGAAGAGGGCCACUUAUCCUCACAACACCUCCAAGGUGUUCCUUCCUCCUCCUCUUCACCUGCCUCCUCCACCUUGUUCAAGACAUUCAGGUCAGCUCAAGAAGCAGCUGUGCACGCCCCCAGCCUUGUGCAGGAUACUUUAAGGUGUUUGGUUGACAGAGAGAAGGGAGGAUGCCCACCAAGGUACCUGCAAUGUCUCGAAUUAUUUGCUUCAUGAUCUUUGUUCUCUAGUGGCUUAAAAUCUAAUGGGAGAGCCAAGACAGGCAACAAAGACGUGGCUAGCACGUGGGGGAUGAGGGAGGCUCAGAAAUGGAGAGUGAGUCAAUGCCGGAAAGAGAGUUUGGGCCUCCAGUCACACCCUUCCGAGGAGGGAAACUAUUGUGGGCUGUCUCUGAGUCACCAGAGAUUUCUCAGGGGAGGUAGGAUUUGAAUUAAGCCUCCGAGCCAGGCUGUGAGCUAAGUGCCUGACGCCCAUUAUCUCAUUUAAUCCUUACAAAACCUCCAUGAUCUGGGUGUUAUAAUUAUCACUCCCAUCUUAUAGAUGAGGAAACAAGCUGGGGGGUGGGGGUUCAGGGAACUGCCAAGGUCACAAAGCUGGUAAGAAGAUUUUAAGCUGGGCCUCCAUGACUUUUAAGCCCUUCCUCUGAAUCUUAAUGCUUUAUGGCCUCCUCUAACCUUGAAAACAUGUAAAAUUUCCAGUGAGGAGACCCAAGGCAAGAGCAUGGCCACAGAGGCAGAGUGCUAAGAAGAUGGGAGAGUGUCAGGGGGGUCAAACUCUGGCCAGAGUGAAUUCCCAGGCCAGGGGAAAGAACUAGCAGGUACAUGCUAAUAUCCCCAGCUCUAAGAGCUGUUCAUUGGAGGAAAGAGGAUUUGGGGUUAUUUAAUUUCCUGGCUGAGAAAUCCAAACCGCUUUUGAGUGAGAGCAGGGGGCAGAGGGGUCUUCUUGUCAAUCCUGUCCCCAACAACUUCAGGGUAUUGGGGCUUUUAGACACUCUGCAACCCAGCUCAUCCAAUACCUUCAAUCCAGAUCAAUAAACAUUUAUGUGCCAGACACUAAGUGCUGGAAAUGAUUAAGGGACAAUUCUUGCCACCAGGAAAAUUAUAGUCUAACAGGGGUGAUGGACACAAAGAGAAAAUUCACUAUAAAUGAGAAAUGUGAAGAUUGAAUGUGUGGUCCCCUCACCUGGGACAUCAGCCCAGGUGUAAAGGACACAGGAGCUGAACCUUGAAGGCAGAGCAGGUGAUAGGGGAAGAAAAGGAGUUAACCCAUGCACCCUGGGUUAGAGGAAAACACCUAAGCAAGGUCAUGGAGGUGUGGAAGCAUGGUUUGUGUUUGAACUUGUAAGCUGACCAGUUGAUGAGAGCAUGAGCUUGGAGACAGGUAGUGACAUGAGACAAGGCUUCAGAGGUUGGCAGGAGUGAGGGCUCAAAAGGCUUUGCAGGUCUGGCUAAGGAACAUGGACUCAAUCCUCAGAGGCCUGAAGGGCUUUCAGCAGAAUCUAAUAUAGUCACGUCACAUUCUAGAAUCCUAACUCUGGCUAUGAAGAGGGAAGUAGCUUUCCCUAGGAUAGACUGGAUCCUAGGAGGCUGUGAAGGAGAACUGUUACAUUUCACCCAAGAUAUGAUGAGGUCCCUGAUCAAGGUGCUAACAGUAGAACUGGAGAAGGGACAACCGGGUCAAGGAACACUUAAGAAAAGAACAAGACGGGAAGUCCCUGGGAGGAAGAAGGAAGAGCCUGACGGUCUCCAGACUGCAUCUUGUGGGACUGAAUAGGCUUGUAAAGUCCCCACACUGCUAUGAAUCACGGACACUCUGCCAGCGAAUGCAGGGAAACCUGGCCAACUCCAGAAGAUGCUGGCUUGACAAGCAGCUGCUGUGGUUCAUCUGAGGUCACUUUUCACUAUUGCAAGGGUCUCCCACCUGCUCGUUCUGGAAAUCAGGGAACAAGUCACUUGCUGGGGGUGGAGCCUCUAGCUCCCCUCUGCUGGAGAAAUAAUAAAUGCCUGGAGCUCU